UCGGCAAUGGCAGUGACGACAGCAGCACAGAAGCGGCAAUGACUAGUAGCAAUAAAAUCGACGUACAACAGCAAAGGCAAUGACUAUGAUAACCACGGUCUUUUUUUUUAACUGAGGAUAAAACAUAAAUGAUGAAAAUUUUAGUAUGGAUAGAAAACUGAAGGUGAUUCAAUCACUAAAAUUAAAUUAAUUUUUAGAGUUAAAGUAAAGCGUUAUACCUCAUCGAGUAUUCAUUUCGAUGCUUUAAACCACCAAGUGAGGUCUGGGUGUACAUGUCAAAGACACUCUAACUCUCAUGUCAUAUAGUUUGAAGUAGAGUUUAGAAUUUAUGUUUUUGAUUUCUUUUAGAUUUUGG
rnacentral:lncRNA from 1 species